rnacentral:misc_RNA from 1 species
AACGCAACUUGCGCUGAAUUAAAACUCAGCAUGUUUGUUUCAGUGUGCAAAAAAUCUCAAGACCAAUCAACCACCUUAAUGCGAUUGAUGGCUUCAUCUCUCGUCAAACUGCCGCGUCCAGCAUUGCGUCCCUUCGAAGUAGUCACACUCGUGUGAUUUCGUCGGGUUGACUCUGCUCUACGGACGUCUUUCUCCUUAACCAGCACCUGAAAUCAAGCAAGGUUACCCGCUGAACUUAA